rnacentral:sRNA from 2 species
UACAUAUGCCCCAAUUCCAUGAUGCACAGGCAUGCUUUGUCGCCUGCCUUUUUGCAACUGCCUACUCCGUAGUCAGAUAGAUUCUUCGCAUGCACAGCUCAUUUGAAAGAACACUGAAAUACCCGAUUCGCCCACAAUAACCACGCUGCUGAUUUUAUUCGCUGCUUGGUUAUUUUAACUACUACUCUAGACAUCUUUUGCCCGACUUCAGUUUCAAUUUCGGAGCCAAGACAUAUUGCGAGGCCACGAGCCCAUUUCUCAAACGAU